AAAAUGGGGGCAGCCUAACACAUGCAAGUCGAGCGGAUGAAGGAGCUUGCUCCUGGAUUCAGCGGCGGACGGGUGAGUAAUGCCUAGGAAUCUGCCUGGUAGUGGGGGACAACGUUUCGAAAGGAACGCUAAUACCGCAUACGUCCUACGGGAGAAAGCAGGGGACCUUCGGGCCUUGCGCUAUCAGAUGAGCCUAGGUCGGAUUAGCUAGUUGGUGAGGUAAUGGCUCACCAAGGCGACGAUCCGUAACUGGUCUGAGAGGAUGAUCAGUCACACUGGAACUGAGACACGGUCCAGACUCCUACGGGAGGCAGCAGUGGGGAAUAUUGGACAAUGGGCGAAAGCCUGAUCCAGCCAUGCCGCGUGUGUGAAGAAGGUCUUCGGAUUGUAAAGCACUUUAAGUUGGGAGGAAGGGUUGUAGAUUAAUACUCUGCAAUUUUGACGUUACCGACAGAAUAAGCACCGGCUAACUCUGUGCCAGCAGCCGCGGUAAUACAGAGGGUGCAAGCGUUAAUCGGAAUUACUGGGCGUAAAGCGCGCGUAGGUGGUUCGUUAAGUUGGAUGUGAAAUCCCCGGGCUCAACCUGGGAACUGCAUUCAAAACUGUCGAGCUAGAGUAUGGUAGAGGGUGGUGGAAUUUCCUGUGUAGCGGUGAAAUGCGUAGAUAUAGGAAGGAACACCAGUGGCGAAAGCGACCACCUGGACUGAUACUGACACUGAGGUGCGAAAGCGUGGGGAGCAAACAGGAUUAGAUACCCUGGUAGUCCACGCCGUAAACGAUGUCAACUAGCCGUUGGGAGCCUUGAGCUCUUAGUGGCGCAGCUAACGCAUUAAGUUGACCGCCUGGGGAGUACGGCCGCAAGGUUAAAACUCAAAUGAAAUUGACGGGGGCCCGCACAAGCGGUGGGAGCAUGGUGGUUUAAUUUCGAAGCAACGCGAAGAACCUUACCAGGCCUUGACAUCCAAUGAACUUUCCAGAAGAUGGGAUUGGGUGCCUUCGGAACAUUGGAGAACAGGUGCUGCAAUGGGCUGUCGUCAGCUCGUGGUCGUGGAGAAAUUGUUUGGGAUAAGGUCCCCGUUAACCGAGCGCCAACCCUUGUUCUUAGCUACCAGCACGGUAUUGGGUGGCACCUUCUAAGGAAACUGCCAGGUGACAAACCGAGACGGUGGGAAUGAUAACGCUCUCCAG
rnacentral:rRNA from 1 species